GUGCUUGCAUUAGCAGCACAUAUACUAAAAUUGAAACUAUAUGGAGAAGAUCAGCAUGGUCUCUGUUAAGGGACAACACACAAACUCAUGAAAUGUUUCAAAUGUUC